rnacentral:rRNA from 1 species
GUCCCUAUCUACUAUCUAGCGAAACCACAGCCAAGGGAACGGGCUUGGAAUCAUUAGCGGGGAAAGAAGACCCUGUUGAGCUUGACUCUAGUUUGGCACUGUAAGAAGACAUAAGAGGUGUAGCAUAAGUGGGAGAUGCCUCGUGUAUCAACAAUGAAAUACCACUACUUUUAUCGUUUUCUUACUUACUUGAUUAAAUGGAGAAUGCACUUUCAUUCAUUCCAUGCUUGCAUUGAGACUCUGUCAUCUUUGCUUGCAUGGCAAUGAUGAUCUUGUGCACUUUUCUUGAUCCAAGUGUCAUGAACCGUUGGUGCGCUUGUACGAUCGAGGCGAUCGCUGCAAAGUGGCGUCGAGGUCGGAGUAUUAACAAUUAUGGUUAAGACACGAUCCAAGUCAGGGACACUGCCAGGUGGGGAGUUUGACUGGGGCGGUACAUCUCUAAAAUAAUA